rnacentral:misc_RNA from 1 species
GAUGUAGAACGUAGCGAAAUGCGAUAAGUAAUGUGAAUUGCAGAAUUCAGUGAAUCAUCGAAUCUUUGAACGCACAUUGCGCCCGCUAGUAUUCUGGCGGGCAUGCCUGUCCGAGCGUCAUUUCAACCCUCAAGCCCCCGGGCUUGGUGUUGGGGAUCGGCGAGCCUCCGCGCCCGCCGUCCCCUAAAUCUAGUGGCGGUCACGCUGUAGCUUCCUCUGCGUAGUAGCACACCUCGCACUGGGAAACAGCGCGGCCACGCCGUUAAACCCCCAACUUCUGAACGUUUGACCUCGGAUCAGGUAGGAAUACCCGCUGAACUUAAGCAUAUCAAUAAGCGGAGGA